rnacentral:rRNA from 1 species
UACGUAGGGUCCGAGCGUUGUCCGGAAUUACUGGGCGUAAAGCGCACGUAGGCGGUCCGUUAAGUCAGAUGUGAAAGCCCCCGGCUCAACCGGGGAAGUGCAUCUGAAACUGGCGGGCUAGAGUACGAAAGAGGGUCGCGGAAUUCCCGGUGUAGAGGUGAAAUUCGUAGAUAUCAGGAGGAACACCGGUGGCGAAGGCGGCAUCCUGGACCGGCAUUGACGCUGAGGAGCGAAAGCCAGGGGAGCAAACGGG